UCUAACCCUUCAGCCUGGAUCCCACCACACACCAUGCCCCCUUGCUCUCUUCAUUUCACCCACUUUGACUUUUCAUCUCCAUCAGAGAACUCGCUGCUGCAGGACCUCGACACAGGCUGACCUCUCUCCGGAAACCCUCCUCACAGACACACACAAGUACGUGUGCAAAUACACAGAGAGAUGUGCACACAUGUAUACGCAUUAUAUACACAAACGCUUGGUUAAUUCCCCUCCGACAGACUUCAAAACACAACACUGACUCUCUCAGGGAAGCCUACCCUGAUGCCAGGACUAGGUCACCUCUGCCCCACUGUAUGGCAUUUUUCUCACAGUUUUCCGUGCAUUUAUGGGAUUAUGUGAUCAACAUCUGUCUCCACCACAAGACCAGAAACUUCAUGAAGAUCCCAGCGACCAGAUAGUUCAUGGCACAAAGAGUUUGAGAGAGCAGUGGAGCCUGAGCAAGAAGCUGUGUCCCAGUGUCUGGUGUGCACCUAGAUGGACAGGUGAAUGGACAGACAGUUAGAUACGUCCUUGUACGUGAUCCUGACAUUGCCGAUGGAGAGGCAGGAAGAGGAGCAGAAAGCUCGAUGGCUGGAUUCUGAAGCCCCUGAGCCACUCCUCGCCCAUGCCAUCAGCUUUGAGUCUCUUCCCAACCUCAAAAAAUUGUGCCCCCUAUAGAUAAAAGAUGAGGAUAAUGAGGCACGAAGAAGUCGAGGAACUGGCCUAUGGACACACAGCCAGUGAACGACAGAGCCGGAUUUGAACCCAGCCCGUUCGGCUCCAGAGUCAGCACUUCCAGUCCCCACCGUAUAAGAAGCAUGACCUGAUGUGCAGUAAAGGAUCCACCCUGCCCAAAAAGAAGCCUCACCUUUGCUCUCGUUCCCAGGAGAUGACCUCUAAGCCCUUGGAAUGUCCUGCCUUAGAAUGUUUUUCUUUACCUGCCUUAGACCAUGCCAGAAAGUGUAACGAUGUGAUUUAGGCUUGACCACACGAUGUCAGUUCAACCUCCGGAGAGGCUGGAGACUAAAGGUCAGCCACAUGGGGAGCCCACCAUGUCUAUGUGAUGGAGCCCCCAUAAAGCCUCUGGACCCCAAGGCUUGGAGGGGCUUCCCUGUAUGUUAUCACCUGUCAUUGCUAGGAGGUGUUAGCACCGUCCUUGACUCCACUGGGAGGGGACAACUGCAGCUCCUCGUGUGGAAUUCUCUUGGACUCUGCCCCAGGAGCCUCUGCCCUUGGCUGACCUUGAUAUGUAUCCUUUUGCUGUAAUAAACCAUAAU